rfam:Myotis lucifugus cont2.29355, whole genome shotgun sequence.
GGCAGUUCUCGGCUGAUGCACCAGGAAUCGGGCUCCCUCCUCUCUGGUUCUGGGUGUGUCACCUGAGAACUGCA